GACGAACGCUAGCGGCGUGCCUAAUGUAUGCAAGUCGAACGGGCAAGCUUCCUUCGGGGAGCUUGCUAGUGGCAAACGGUUGAGUGACACGUCGGCAACCUGCCCGGAAGUGGGGGACAACUGCGGGAAACUGCAGCUAAUACCGCAUGUGGAGCGAGGGGACAUCCCCUUUCUCUAAAGCAUUUAUGCGCUUCUGGAGGGGCCGGCGGCCUAUCAGCUAGUUGGUGGGGAACGGCCUACCAAGGCGACGACGGGGAGCUGGUCUGAGAGGACGAACAGCCAGACAGGGACUGGGAAACGGCCCUGACUCCUUUGGGGGCAGCAAUGAGGGAUAUUGCGCAAUGGGGGAAACCCUGACGCAGCGACGCCGCGUGGGCGAGGAAGAGCUUCGGCUUGUAAAGCCCCUUUNAGCAGGGACGAAGCGAAAGUGACGGUACCUGCAGAAGAAGCACC
rnacentral:rRNA from 1 species